rnacentral:rRNA from 1 species
CGAAGCAGUGAUGUGGAGUAAAACUUAGAAAAAACGGUACUCAGUUCGGAUUGAAGGCUGAAAUUCGCCUUCAUGAAGCUGGAAUUGCUAGUAAUGGCCGGUCAGCAUACUGCCGUGAAUACGUUCCCGGGCCUUGUACACACCGCCCGUCACACCAUGAGAGUUGGAAAUACCCGAAGCCUGUGAGCUAACUUUUAGAGGCAGCAGUCGAAGGUAGAGCCAAUGAUUGGGGUGAAGUCGUAACAAGGUAAC